UACGUAGGGGGCAAGCGUUGUCCGGAAUCACUGGGCGUAAAGCGUGCGUAGGCGGUUUGUUAAGCCUGGAGUGAAAGUCCAAGGCUCAACCUUGGGAUUGCUUUGGAAACUGGCAGACUUGAGUGCUGGAGAGGCAAGGGGAAUUCCACGUGUAGCGGUGAAAUGCGUAGAUAUGUGGAGGAAUACCAGUGGCGAAGGCGCCUUGCUGGACAGUGACUGACGCUGAGGCACGAAAGCGUGGGGAGCAAACAGG
rnacentral:rRNA from 1 species